rnacentral:rRNA from 1 species
UUGGCCGUUUCCUAAACCCCAGGCGUGAGGCGUCAGGCGUGGCCUACAGGUAGCUCCUGAGGGGAGGGACAGAGGGGUGCGGAUAUUUGGGGGUGGGGGACUGCGUCUCGCCUCCGGUGUCCGCGCGGCACGUGUAGCGGGACUGUCAGUAGGGGAAAGAGCGAUGGCUUCGGUACCACUUCCUCCGCGGGUGGUGAGGCUCGCGGUUCCCGUUCCCGCGGCGCAGGCGCAGGCGCAGGCGGAGGCGGAGGCGCUUCUGCGGCGGCAGGUUCCGGUGGGGGCCUAGCCAGUCCGCGUUCUCCCGCACAUUCUUCUUCUUCCGGCUAGGCCUCUUCGUCUUCCGCCGGCGGCGGCGACGUCAGCGCCGGAGGCGGCUGCGCGGACGAAGCCCCGGGUGCGGCCACCAAGGGCGGGGCCGGCUGCAGCCGUGAAGCCGGCGGGAACACCAGCGGCUCUUGCCGCCGCGGCUGCCCUUCUACCAGCGGUUCCGGUUGCCACUACCGCUAUUCAGGCAGCGGUUCCUGUUGCCACCACCGUCAUUCAGGCAGCGGCUCUUGUUCCCACUACCGUGAUUCAGGCAGCGGUUCCUGUUCCCACUACCGUCAUUCAGGCAGCGGCUCUUGUUCCCACUACCGUCAUUCAGACAGCGGCUCUUGUUCCCACUACCGUCAUUCAGACAGCGGCUCUCGUUCCCACUACCGUAAUUCUACCCGUGACCCUUGUCGUCACGACUGUCCUUCUACCCGUGACCCUUGUCGUCACGACUGUCCUUCUCCCCAUCCUUCCUAUUCUACUCCCCCUCCCUCUUCCCCCUUCCUGUCCCCUCCCACUUGGGCUUCCCCCUCCUCUUCCUCUUCUUCCUGCUGUGUCGCCCCCUCCUCUCCCCGUCACGACCCAAAUAGAAGUACACGUUACCUUUCUGCUUCGGCCUCACGAAGGUCUUGUCGCACAAACCGAACGGGUUCCGCUUCUAUCUACACCACCUCUUCUAGGCUGGUCCCCGCUUCGACAAGGACAUACUGAAACUGGACUUCGAAGAGAUACCCCACAUGUUCCGUUGCCGUUCUCCUCCCUACCUAGAACACGCUGCACGCAAGUUGCCCUUUAAGGGACGAGUCCAGUUUAAGUCCUAACUAUUUCUAACAGAAGGCGAAGGACUCUCAUCAAAGUUCGUACGGUAAUUCCUCUUGAUACUAAGUUUCCCUUUUAAGUGGGUUCUCGAGUUAAGAUCUGUUCAGGCAUUCGAUGACCGUGAUAUGUUCGGUUAAUUGUAUGUAGCCGGUAGAAGGGUUGUACAAGUUCUUCAAGGAGCCUGUUUGGCACAACUUUCCGAGGACGGAGUGAUACAACUUCUUUCCGCUGUCGGUAUACUAAUACUUCUUUCCUCCGACGGUGCUAUAGUACUUCUUUACGUUGUGGGUGUUAAACGACUCCUUUCCUCCAAUCGGAUACUAAUACUUCUUUCUUCCGGUAGUGAGGUACAACUUCUUUAAGCUGCGGGUGUUAAACAACUUCUUCGAGUCGGUGGAUGUAUGAUAGUACAACGAGGACGAGGAGUACCAAGUAUGGUAGGUGUAGUUCGAUUAUAGUAAAUACUUUCCCGAGGUCGACUGCGGCGGUUGUCCCACCUAGGUAAGGAAGGUUCUCUGAUGUCCCACGGCGGCGUCCUCCAGCGGCGCGUGGGGUCGAUGCGACUGCUCUAGAUGGCACCACGAAUGGGGCGGCGAGUCCUGGACAGGAUGCGCCGGUCCGGACGGCGAAUGGGCCGUUUGGAGGUCCCCGGACGACGAAGUUCCCACGGCCACAGGAGGGAGAUGAGCAAGCGGCCGCGUGGCCGCAUGUCUACUAGCGACGUCGCGGACGAGACUUUGGCCAGGACUGGUCGUACUAAGCGACCAACCACCACAUCGAUCGCAGCAGAAGACUAUGUAUGACAUCAGCAAACAACCUAGGGACUGAACCUACAGCAAACGGUGUUCACACCAUGGACCUUGCACAGCAAACGGUGUUCACCCCAUGACCUUGCACAGCAACCGACAAUUUGUUCACUGAAAGGACUGUUCACGACGGCACCAGAACGUUCACACC